UGUGACUCAUCUUCCAUUCCCUGGUGUAUUUCUAAUGUGUACCCAUAGUGUGAGUCCAUGGAGGCUGCCAGGUUUUUGUAAUCCCUCUUCUACCCCUACCCUCAACCUCCCAGGCAGCCUGAGAUCUGACAAAGAGAAGUUAAAAAACGCAAAUAUUCCAAAUCAGUGACUGGAAAAAGUGAUAUCACAAGCGAAACAAGAAUCCAGUCCAUAGGCCAAGACUGCUAUCUCUCUCUCUUUUUUUUUUUUUUUUUUGAGAUAGAGUCUCGCUCUGUUGCCCAGGCUGGAAUGCAGUGGCGCGAUAUUGGCUGACUGCAAGCUCCGCCUCCCGGGUUCACGCCAUUCUCCUGAGUAGAGUAGCUGGGACUACAGGCGACCGCCACCACACCCAGCUAAUUUUUUUGUAUUUUUUUUAGUAGAGACGGGGUUUCACCGUGUUGGCCUGGAUGGUCUCGAGCUCCUGACCUAGCUACCUGCCUGCCUCAGCCUCCCAAAGUGCUGGGAUUACAGGGGUGAGCCACCACGCCCGGCCCAAGUCUGCUAUCUCUAUUCCAACAAGAAAUUGCCACAGCUGCUCUGACCUCCAGCGACCACCACCCUGAUCAAUCAGCAGCCUUUAGCACUGAGGCCACACUAUCCACCAGCAAAGAUAUUAGAUUAAGACUCACUGAGGCUCAGAUGAUCAGUAGCAUUUUUCAUCUGCAUCUUGUUAUUGUGCCGCGAGAAAUAGCAGCCUGACCCUCAGUUUGAUCCGGGAUAAAAAUUUGGCACACAAGCCAGGAAUUAAGGACAGUGCUGCAUUCAGCGGCUGGCAACUUGCUAUGAGACAGUCUUCAGGAGGAUCCCAGAAGCUGCUGGGUGAGGUUUCCCCCGGGACCCUCCAGAGGGCUGUUGUGCGCAAAUCUGCAUGUCCUUUUCACUACUGAGGAGAAACAGAGAUCAGGAGCAGAUGCGCUCAAAGGGUGAGUUAACCAGAUUCUAUGCUAGGAGCCUACUGUUUCCUAUCUGGGCUUGGUAAGCCAUUUGUCUGAUACCGCCAAGGGAAGCAAUAAGGCUCUCUCAUAUAUCUGCUUUGCAUUUUGAUUGAGAUCAGGUUUUGAGUUGGUUCUGAGUCUGUUUUGCCUGAGUGCACUCCCCCUUGUGUUGUUCAAAAUUUGUCUCCACUUGUUUGUGUAAGG
rnacentral:lncRNA from 1 species